rnacentral:tRNA from 1 species
GAGGGUGUAGCUCAGUGGUAGAGGGCAUGCUUAGCAUGCAGGAGGCCCUGGGUUCAAUUCCCAGCACCUCCA